GAGUUGACUGGGCAAUCGCUGCUUGGAUUUGUGCGUAAAGAGCAUACGGUCCGAGGGGAGGAAAGUCCGGGCUCUACAGGACAAGGUGCCAGGUAACGCCUGGGGGGUGUGAACCUACGACCAGUGCAACAGAGAGCAGACCGCCGAUGGCCUUCGGGCACAGGUAAGGGUGAAAGGGUGCGGUAAGAGCGCACCGCGUUGCUAGUAAUAGACAACGGCUUGGUAAACUCCACCUAGAGCAAGAUCAAAUAGGCUCCCGCAUAGCGUGGUCCGCGCUUGGGGGCGGGUCGAUUGCUUGAGCUUAAGCGCGAGUUUAAGCCUAGAUGAAUGAUUGCCACCUUAGCAAUAAGGUACAGAACCCGGCUUACAGGUCAACUC
rnacentral:RNase_P_RNA from 1 species